UACGGAGGGUGCGAGCGUUGUCCGGAAUCACUGGGCGUAAAGGGCGCGUAGGCGGCGCGGGGAGUCAACGGUGAAAGCUCGGCGCUCAACGCCGAGUCGGCCGUCGAUACUCCCGUGCUUGAGCACUGUAGAGGCAGGUGGAAUUCCGGGUGUAGCGGUGGAAUGCGUAGAGAUCCGGAAGAACACCGGUGGCGAAGGCGGGUCUCUGGGCAGUAACUGACGCUGAGGAGCGAAAGCGUGGGGAGCGAACAGG
rnacentral:rRNA from 1 species